rnacentral:rRNA from 1 species
AAUGAACGCUGGCGGCAUGCCUAACACAUGCAAGUCGAACGAGACCUCCGGGUCUAGUGGCGCAUGGGGGUGUAACGCGUGGGAACCUGCCCGUAGGUAUGGAAUAACUCAGAGUAAUUUGAGCUAACACCGGAAAAUGUCUUCUGACCAAAGAUUUAUCGCCUUUGGUGGGGCCCGCGUAGGUUUAGCUUGUUGGGGGGGUAAUGGCCUACCAAGGCGACGCUCCUUAGCUGGUCAGAGAGGAUGAGCAGCCACACUGGGGCUGAGACACGGCCCGGACUCCUACGGGAGGGAGGAGUGGGGAAUCUAGGACAACGGGCGAAGGCAUGAACGAGCAAGGCCGGGUAAGUGAUGAAGGCCUUAAAGAAGAAAAGCUCUUUUAUCAGGGAUGGUACUGACGGUACCUGAAGAAUAAGCACCGGCUAACUCCGUG